GUUUCUCCCGCUUCACGCGCCGCUCCGAGGGCUCCGCUUGGCUUCGUUCGCGACCGUGCGCGCCGCUGCGGGCCUCGGCUUCCGCCCCACGCCGCCCGCUCCCGCGCUCACUCCCACGCUCCCGGCUCCGCUUCCGUCGUUCGCCGCCGCUGCUGCCGCCGCCGCUGCUCCGGUGCUUGUGUUUCUUAUGCUCGCGAUGCCGUGGCGGCUGCUCGGUCGUGCCCCCAGUCCCGGCCGCAGCCGUCGUCCCGGCCGCCUCCUUCUCGCCACGGUGCUUCUUUGACGACCCCAUGAUUAUUGCGUCCGCCUGGAGCCGGGCCGCUACCCUAGCCCAGACGACGCGAAAUGGGAACGCUUCCGGGUCGCGCGACCGCCCCGUUCCUGUUGCCGGAAACUAAGAGGGGCUGUUUCCGGGGCCUGCCUGGGAACCUCCAAAGGCUCACGGGAGGGACUGAUUGAGGGUGCGCGGUCCCGCCUGCCAGCUACUGGUCUCUGCGCACGCGCACCUGUAGAGACUGCGCCGUCCACCCUCUCGCGCCAUCUAAGAUGGUAGUCGUAGAGCCGUAAGAACUUUAGCAUGGUACUGGGUCAUCAUCUCCGGAGCUAGAAGUUUCCCCUGCCUCCUUCCCCUUCCACUCUGAUCGCUUCGUGGUGCUCUGUGCCUCAAGUCUCUCUGUGGGCAGCCCCCUCUCCAGUGACUGUCCAAGCAAGCUCCCUAGUGCCGGGGCUCCAUCCAGAGUUGGAAAAUACUCUUUCUUUUAGCGAACGCUACCGUCAUCCUAUGUCCCCUAGACUGAUGGAUUGGACCGUUUUAUUAUUAUUUUUUAGACAGGGGUUUUCUCUGUCCUGGAACUCACUCUGUAGACCAGGCUGGCCUCGAACUCAGAAAUCCGCCUGCCUCUGCCUCCCAGGUGCUGGGAUUAAAGGCGUGCGCCACCACCGCCCAGCUGGAUUGGACCUUUUUAACUAGGCUUUGGAGUGCUCUUUGAAUUUGUGCCUAUAAACCUGGUGAUACUGAGUGAUGGUUUGUUUCUAGUUUUCUUUUUUUGUAAAGGUAGGUCUAGUACUUGUUACUUACCCCUGGCUGUCUUCAAACCCACCACAGUCCCUCUGUCAGCCUCUCGUGUGCAUGGCCACUCCAGGCUUGAGUGCAAAUUCGGCACAUUUGUGCAUGUAUAUGCUUUCCCUCCUUUUUUUGUUUUUCCCGUUCUGUCUAGCCUGUUAACUAUGUAGCCCAGGCUGGGAUUACAUGCUUUUCUCGACUUUUCCUGGGUUUCUGUUUGUUUGAUUGUUUGUUUAGUUUGGUUGCUUUGUUUUGGGUUGAGUAAAGGGUUAAGGGUUUAAGUUAAGGGUUCACACACUCCCAUCUGAUAGUCGUUGCUCCUCUCUGGACUUCCGGUGUAGCACCUCGCUGGUGUGGUUUGGUGUGGGGGAUGGGCACCUUUGAAGGUCCACCCCGAGACUGAGCGCCUUCAGAGGCAGGGUCCUGUUCACUAAGAUUUCUAGGUCCCCUGGCAUGUUGGGGAAAGCAUGGCAAAGUCUCAGCGGAUUCCUUUCCGGUGCCCCACGCCUCAGUAGAGAGACGGCUUGUUGAGAAUGAGGUGUAGCCUGGGUUUCCAGGGCGUGGGGGAAACAGCUCAACCUCUGCCACCCACUUCCGCUACCUAUCUCCGACCCACAGCCAACUCCCCUCAGAAGUCUCACACUGUACUUGGCCAUAAAGCGUUUAAUUUU